rnacentral:rRNA from 1 species
UACGAAGGGGGCUAGCGUUGUUCGGAUUUACUGGGCGUAAAGGGCGCGUAGGCGGCCCUCUUUGUCGCGUGUGAAAGCCCCGGGCUCAACCUGGGAAUGGCGCGCGAAACGGGGGGGCUUGAGUUCGGGAGAGGAGCGUGGAAUUCCCAGUGUAGAGGUGAAAUUCGUAGAUAUUGGGAAGAACACCGGUGGCGAAGGCGGCGCUCUGGACCGAGACUGACGCUGAGGCGCGAAAGCGUGGGGAGCAAACAGG